rnacentral:rRNA from 1 species
GGAAUUGGCGGGGGAGCACCGCAACGGGAGGAGCGUGCGGUUUAAUUGGAUUCAACACCGGAAAACUCACCAAGGGCGACUAUUACAUGAAAGCCAGGCUAAUGACCUUGCUUGAUUUUUAGAGAGGUGGUGCAUGGCCGUCGUCAGUUCGUACCGUAAGGCGUUCUCUUAAGUGAGAUAACGAACGAGACCCUCAUCUAUAAUUGCUACUUCAUUCUCCGGAAUGGAGGCACAUUAUCGAGACCGCUGGCGCUAAGUCAGAGGAAGGAGAGGUCAACGGUAGGUCAGUAUGCCCCGAAUCUCUUGGGCUACACGCGCGCUACAAAGGGCGGGACAAUGGGCUACGACGCCGAAAGGCGAAGUCAAUCUCGAAACCCGUCCGUAGUUCGGAUUGAGGCUUGUAACUCAGCCUCAUGAAGCUGGAUUCCGUAGUAAUCGCGAAUCAAAAACUCGCGGUGAAUAUGCCCCUGCUCCUUGCACACACCGC